rnacentral:rRNA from 1 species
GUCUUUUUGGUAAUAAUUUAAAGUCUAAUCUGCCCACUGAUAAAAUAUUAAAGGGCUGCAGUAUAAUGACUGUACAAAGGUAGCAUAAUCAAUAGUUUUUUAAUUGAAAACUUGUAUGAAAGAUUUGAUGAAAUAUAAACUGUCUCUUAUUUAUUUUUAUAAAUUUAUUUUUUAGUUAAAAAGCUAAAAUAGAUUUAAAAGACGAGAAGACCCUAUAGAGUUUUAUAUUUAUUUUUAUUUUAAAAUUAUAUAAAAAUUUAUAUUAAAAUGAAAAUAAAUAUUAUGUUGGGGUGACAGAAAAAUUGAAUUAACUUUUUUUAAAUAUUAUACAUAAAUAAAUGAUUAAAUGAUCCAUAAAUAAUGAUUAUAAGAAAAAAUUACCUUAGG